AACGCAACUUGCGCUCUCUGGUAUUCCGGGGAGCAUGCCUGUUUGAGUAUCGUAAAGCAACACAAAUCAUAUUCUUUGUUUAUUCAUUGAGUAUGGAGUUGAGCCGAGUUCUUCUUUCUUCCGAGAAAGGGGAUGGCUUGAAAUACAGAAGGACGGGGGAAAAGUGUUGGGUGAAAACCCAGGACUUUUCCUCUCAGGUCAAACAAUUUAAUACUUGAGCAAAAUAAUUAGUUAAUGCUUUUUAUUGAGCAUUAUUCUUUUUUGCUCGGUGGUUUGGCCUGGCUCCAAAUCGUCCUCACACUUUUCCGGUGAAAGAAACGGAAUUGGAAAACCCAUCUAAUCGACGAAGUCUCCCGUAAAAAAGGAGCUUCCGACCUCUUAGAUCUCAAAUCAGGCAAGAGUACCCGCUGAACUUAA
rnacentral:misc_RNA from 1 species